AUGGAUUCACAGGCCCAGGUCCUCAUUUUGCUGCUGCUCUGGGUGUCUGGUACUUGUGGGGACAUUGUUAUGACUCAGUCUCCAUCCUCACUGGCUGUGUCAGCAGAAGAGAAGAUCACUAUGAGUUGCAAGUCCAGUCAGAGCUUUUUAUCAAGUGGAAAGAGCUACUUGGCCUGGUACCAGCAGAAACCAGGGAAGUCUCCUAAACUACUGAUCUACUGGGCAUCUCCUAGGGAAUCAGGGGUCCCUGAUCGCUUCAUAGGCAGUGGAUCUGGGACAGAUUUCACUCUCACCAUCAGCAGUGUGCAGGAUGAAGACAUGGCAGAUUAUUACUGUCAACAGUCCUACAGCGAUCCUCCUCCCACAGUGUUUUAG